CGGGUGAGUAAUGCUUGGGAAUCUAGCUUAUGGAGGGGGAUAACUACGGGAAACUGUAGCUAAUACCGCGUAAUAUCGAAAGAUUAAAGUGUGGGACCUUCGGGCCACAUGCCAUAGGAUGAGCCCAAGUGGGAUUAGGCAGUUGGUGAGGUAAAGGCUCACCAAGCCGACGAUCUCUAGCUGGUCUGAGAGGAUGACCAGCCACACUGGGACUGAGACACGGCCCAG
rnacentral:rRNA from 1 species